rnacentral:misc_RNA from 1 species
CAGAGUUCUUGCCCUUACGGGUAGAUCUCCCACCCCUGUGUAUUUAUACCUUUGUUGCUUUGGCAGGCCGUCAGGCUUCGGCCUUGCCACCGGCUCCCAGCUGGUGUGUGCCUGCCAGAGGAUCUCAAACUCUGAAUGUUAGUGUCGUCUGAGUACUAUAUAAUAGUUA